GGAGAGGUGGCUGAGUGGUUGAAGGCAGCGGUCUUGAAAACCGCCAUACCGCUUGCGGUAUCGUGGGUUCGAAUCCCACCCUCUCCGCCA
rnacentral:tRNA from 2 species